GCCGACCCGUCCCGCCCCGCCCCCAACCGCCAUUUCGUGCUCCGGCGCGCGGGGCCUCCGCAUGAUGGACGCCCGGAAGCCGGGACAACAAAGGCCCGCGCGCUAGGGCCGCGCGGCCUGCGGAUCUUUACGCUGCUCGCAGGGCGAAGAUGGCGCCCAGGCGCGGAAGCUGUGCCCGAGUGUGGGGAGACUUGGGCGCGUCUACCUGCGAGCGGGCCCGGCCGCCGUCCUGGGGCGGGGAGGGGCACGCACGGCCUCGUGUGCGCACAGCGCUGGGUGUUCACCUCACCGUGUGUGCACAGCCUCGGGGUACUGCACACGCCCCGGUAUCCCCAGACUUGUGUGUGCACCAUCCAGCCGCACGAACCGGCGGGUUUCCACGUCCAGUGCGCCUGAUCCCGAGUAUGCUUCCACCCGAGUGUGCGCACAGCUGUGUUGGCGCCGCCUGGCCGUCUACACGGGCCCGUGUGUACGGACACGUGUUCGCACGAACCCUAAAUGUGCAGAGGAGCGUGGAUUCAUGAACCUGGCGAAUGCACCAACCUGUGUUUGCCCUUGGGCGUGUGCACACCCACCAGUGUUGCAGACCCACGAGUGCAAGCUCAGCCUCCCGCAGCCUGGAGCACCCGCGAAAACUUACCACGUUUCUGGCCUGUUUUGGAGUUUUGCCUUUGCUGAGUUUACAUGCAAAGCAUAACCACCUGCCUGCUACUCUAUGCUAUUCUUAACCUCUCUAUUCUUUUCUCCCAGCUCAUUGGAUUCCUGCUGAGGCCCCCACUUUGCAAUGGGGUCACGCAAUGACAGUGAGGGGCAGGCGAUGAGAGAAACAAAGAAACGAGCAGUAAAGGGCAACACAGGGAAGCUGGGAAGGAGGCCCCUGGCCCGCUACAGUAAGAGAAGCCUCCUGGAGGAAGCCAAGCGCCAUGGCCAGGGCCUGGCUACAGAUGGAAUCGGGGGUCAAGCCCCAGUUUCUGCUCAGGCCUGAGAACUUUGUUCGACGGGACAUUCAAACAGGAGAUGACACCAAAUUCGUGUACACCUUAAGGGCAUGAAAAUACAUCACCUCUGGACGCCUUGGGUGCUUUCAGCUAAGGAUGUGAUCCUGGAUGAGUCCCACAUUGAGCUCCCUGCAUGGAGCCUGCUUCUCCCUCUGCCUAUGUCUCUGCUUCUCUCUGUGUGUCUCUAAUGAAUAAAUAAAGAAAAAAAAAGAAAAGAAAAUACAUCACCUCUAACAUACCUCCGCAUUCCGGUUGAGAAUCCCUCUACAACUCCCAAUAUGUGAUCAUUGUACCCCCAUCUGAAUGCGUCUCAUGAUGGAGAAUGGGCCACAUCAGAGGACGGACUUUUCG